rnacentral:rRNA from 1 species
ACGGAGGGUGCGAGCGUUGUCCGGAAUCACUGGGCGUAAAGGGCGCGUAGGCGGCCACGACAAGUCGGUUGUGAAAUCUCCGGGCUUAACUCGGAACGGUCAACCGAUACUGUCGGGCUAGAGUACAGAAGGGGCAACUGGAAUUCUCGGUGUAGCGGUGAAAUGCGCAGAUAUCGAGAGGAACACCUGUGGCGAAAGCGGCGCACUGGACCACAACUGACGCUGAGGCGCGAAAGCUAGGGGAGCAAACAGGA